rnacentral:rRNA from 1 species
GUGGGGAAUUUUGGACAAUGGGGGCAACCCUGAUCCAGCAAUGCCGCGUGAGUGAAGAAGGCCUUCGGGUUGUAAAGCUCUUUUGUCGGGGAAGAAACGGUGAUUUCUAAAAUAGGUCACUAAUGACGGUACCCGAAGAAUAAGCACCGGCUAACUACGUGCCAGCAGCCGCGGUAAUACGUAGGGUGCAAGCGUUAAUCGGAAUUACUGGGCGUAAAGCGUGCGCAGGCGGUUUUAUAAGUCAGCUGUGAAAUCCCCGGGCUCAACCUGGGAAUGGCAGUUGAGACUGUAAGGCUAGAGUGUGUCAGAGGGGGGUAGAAUUCCACGUGUAGCAGUGAAAUGCGUAGAGAUGUGGAGGAAUACCGAUGGCGAAGGCAGCCCCCUGGGAUAACACUGACGCUCAUGCACGAAAGCGUGGGGAGCAAACAGGAUUAGAUACCCGGGUAGUCC